AAUCAACGCUGGCGGCGUGCCUAACACAUGCAAGUCGAACGCGAAAAGGGCUUCGGCCCCUAGUAGAGUGGCGUACGGGUGAGUAACGCGUGGGUCAUCUGCCCUCGGGUGGGGAAUAACUAAUCGAAAGGUUAGCUAAUACCGCAUAACACAGUGAUGUCAAAGCAGCAAUGUGCCUGAGGAGGAGCCUGCGUCUGAUUAGGUAGUUGGUGGGGUAACGGCCUACCAAGCCUGCGAUCAGUAGCUGGUCUGAGAGGACGGCCAGCCACAAUGGCACUGAAAUACGGGCCAUACUCCUACGGGAGGCAGCAGUGGGGAACUUUGCGCAAUGGGCGAAAGCCUGACGCAGCAACGCCGCGUGAGGGAUGAAAUAUUUCGGUAUGUAAACCUCGCAAAUAUGGGAAGAACAAAAUGACGGUACCAUAUGUAAGCCACGGCUAACUUCGUGCCAGCCGCCGCAGUAAAAC
rnacentral:rRNA from 1 species